rnacentral:misc_RNA from 1 species
GAUGAAGAACGCAGUGAAAUGCGAUACUUGGUGUGAAUUGCAGAAUCCCGUGAACCAUCGAGUUUUUGAACGCAAGUUGCGCCCGAAGCCGUUAGGCCGAGGGCACGUCUGCCUGGGCGUCACGCAUCGCGUCGCCCCCCACAAUUCUCCGUAAAGGGAACGUGUGUUUUGGGGGCGGAUAUUGGUCUCCCGUGCUCAUGGCGUGGUUGGCCGAAAUAGGAGUCCUUUCGAUGGACGCACGAACUAGUGGUGGUCGUAAAAACCCUCGUCUUUUGUUUCGUGCUGUUGCUCGCAAGGUAAACUCUUUAAAAACCCCAAUGUGUCGUCUCUUGACGACGCUUCGACCGCGACCCCAGGUCAGGCGGGACUACCCGCUGAGUUUAAGCAUAUCAAUAAGCGGAGGA